rnacentral:tRNA from 1 species
AGUUAAUGAACUUGAAUAAGUAUAUGUUUUGAAAACAUAACAUAGUAGUAAAACCUUCUAUUAACUU